UCAAGCGCGAAAAGGGCGUUUGGUGAAUGCCUUGGCAGUAAGAGGCGAUGAAGGACGUGAUACUCUGCGAUAAGUUAUGGGGAGCUGAGAAUAAGCUUUGAUCCAUAAAUUUCCGAAUGGGGCAACCCACCUGAUAUUCUACUAUUGUUGCGCUUCGGUGCAUUCAAUAGUUGGGUAAACCAGGUAUUUAUAACUUGAAUACAUAGGGUUAUAAAAGCAAACCCGGGGAACUGAAACAUCUAAGUACCCGGAGGAAAGGACAUCAAUUAGAUACUCCCCUAGUAGCGGCGAGCGAACGGGGAUCAGCCGAGCCAUGAGUGUGACUAGAAUGUGUUGGAAAGCACAACCAAAGUGGGUGACAGUCCCGUAUAGGAAGCAUGAUUGGACGUAUUAAGUAGGGCGGGACACGUGAAAUCCUGUUCGAAGAUCGGAGGACCACCUCCGAAGGCUAAGUACUCCUUACUGACCGAUAGUGAACCAGUACCGUGAGGGAAAGGUGAAAAGCACCCCGACGAGGGGAGUGAAACAGUUUCUGAAACCGGACGCCUACAAUCAGUCGGAGGCCCCUUGAGGGCUGACGGCGUACCUUUUGUAUAAUGGGUCAUCGACUUAGUGUAUCUAGCAAGCUUAAGCCGUUAGGUGUAGGCGCAGCGAAAGCGAGUCUUAAUAGGGCGAUUGAGUUAGAUGUAUUAGACCCGAAACCGAGUGAUCUAGGCAUGGCCAGGUUGAAGGUACGGUAACACGUACUGGAGGACCGAACCCACAUCCGUUGAAAAGGAUCGGGAUGAGCUGUGCCUAGGGGUGAAAGGCCAAUCAAACUCGGAGAUAGCUGGUUCUCCGCGAAAUCUAUUUAGGUAGAGCGUCAUCCGAAUACCCCGGGGGGUAGAGCACUGGAUGGGUAAUGGGGCCCCACAGGCUUACUGAUCCUAACCAAACUCCGAAUACCCGGGAGUAAUAGAUGGCAGACACACUGCGGGUGCUAACGCCCGUAGUGAAAAGGGAAACAACCCUGACCGACAGUUAAGGCCCCUAAUUCAUGGCUAAGUGGGAAAGCAGGUGGGACGACCAAAACAACCAGGAAGUUGGCUUAGAAGCAGCCAUCUUUUAAAGAUAGCGUAACAGCUCACUGGUCUAAAUAAGUUGUCCUGCGGCGAAGAUGUAACGGGGCUCAAGCCAUGAGCCGAAACUUCGGAUGCAUUUAAUUGCAUGGUAGCGGAGCGUAGUGUGACAUAGUUCCAUGCGUCUUUAACUUCCUUUUGGAAGUAUUGGACGCAAGGAGCUUUCUGUGAAGCCGGCCUGUGAGGGAUCCGGUGGAGAGAUCACUAGUGAGAAUGAUGACAUGAGUAACGACAAAGGGGGUGAGAGACCCCCUCGCCGAAAAUCCAAGGGUUCCUGCUUAAAGCUAAUCUGAGCAGGGUGAGCCGGCCCCUAAGCCGAGGGCGAAAGCCGUAGGCGAUGGGAACCAGGUUAAUAUUCCUGGGCCAGGAGGAAGUGACGGAUCAUGAAGAUUGUUGGAUCAGGCGUAGUUGCCCCAGCAGUUAAUUGGUUCCUGGAAAUAGCCCUCCAUCAGACCGUACCCUAAACCGACACAGGUGGAUAGGUAGAGUAUACCAAGGCGCUUGAGAGAACUAUGUUGAAGGAACUCGGCAAAAUACCUCCGUAAGUUCGCGAGAAGGAGGCCCAGUUUCUACGCAAGUAUUGGCUGGGGGCACAAACCAGGGGGUGGCGACUGUUUACUAAAAACACAGGGCUCUGCGAAGUCGUAAGACGACGUAUAGGGUCUGACGCCUGCCCGGUGCCUGAAGGUUAAAAGGAGGGGUGAGAGCUCCGAAUUGAAGCCCAGGUAAACGGCGGCCGUAACUAUAACGGUCCUAAGGUAGCGAAAUUCCUUGUCGGG
rnacentral:rRNA from 1 species